rnacentral:rRNA from 1 species
CCUACGGGUGGCAGCAGUGGGGAAUUUUGGACAAUGGGCGCAAGCCUGAUCCAGCCAUUCCGCGUGAGUGAAGAAGGCCUUCGGGUUGUAAAGCUCUUUCGCAAGGGAAGAAAACUUAUCCUCUAACAUAGGAUGAGGUUGACGGUACCUUGAUAAGAAGCACCGGCUAACUACGUGCCAGCAGCCGCGGUAAUACGUAGGGUGCGAGCGUUACUCGGAAUUUGUGGGGGUAAAGCUGGAGCAGACAGUUGAAAUCCCCGAGCUCAACUUGGGAACUGCGUUUGAAACUACAAGACUAGAAUAGGUCAGAGGGGGGUAGAAUUCCACGUGUAGCAGUGAAAUGCGUAGAGAUGUGGAGGAAUAUCAAUGGCGAAGGCAGCCCCCUGGGAUCAUAUUGACGCUCAUGCACGAAAGCGUGGGGAGCAAACAGGAUUAGAUACCCCUGUAGUC